rnacentral:rRNA from 1 species
ACGAACGCUGGCGGCGUGCUUAACACAUGCAAGUCGAACGGUGAAGCGCCUUCCUUUUUGGUGGGUGUGGAUGAGUGGCGAACGGGUGAGUAACACGUGAGUAACCUGCCCCCUUCUUCUGGAUAACCGCAUGAAAGUGUGGCUAAUACGGGAUAUUCUGGGUCUGUCGCAUGAUGGGUCUGGGAAAGAUAUUGUUUCGGUGGGGGAUGGGCUCGCGGCCUAUCAGCUUGUUGGUGGGGUGAUGGCCUACCAAGGCGGUGGCGGGUAGCCGGCCUGAGAGGGUUGACGGUCACACUGGGACUGAGACACGGCCCAGACUCCUACGGGAGGCAGCAGUGGGGAAUAUUGCACAAUGGGCGCAAGCCUGAUGCAGCGACGCCGCGUGAGGGAUGGAGGCCUUCGGGUUGUGAACCUCUUUCGCCAGUGAAGCAGGCCUGCCUCGUUUGUGGGUGGGUUGACGGUAGCUGGAUAAGAAGCGCCGGCUAACUACGUG